rnacentral:rRNA from 1 species
UACGGAGGGUGCGAGCGUUAUUCGGAAUCACUGGGCGUAAAGGGCGCGUAGGCGGCCUGGUAAGUCAGGGGUGAAAUCCCACGGCUCAACCGUGGAAUUGCCUUUGAAACUGCUGGGCUUGGAUCCUGGAGAGGGUGGCGGAAUUCCCGGUGUAGCGGUGAAAUGCGUAGAUAUCAGGAGGAACACCGAUGGCGAAGGCGGCCAUCUGGCUGGUAACUGACACUGAGGCUCGAAAGCGUGGGUAGCAAACAGG